rnacentral:snoRNA from 1 species
AUUCAUGCUUUAUAAGUGCAGUCAUUCAGUUUUCAUACCAUUAUGUGAAAUGUGCUUCUCUUAAAACUUGUUACGAUGUCAAAUUAUAACCCAAUGGAAA